GGGAUACUACUUGUCUUGAGACCGGGAGAGGUUAGAGGUACUCCUAGGGUAGGGGUGAAAUCCUAUAAUCCCGGGAGGACCACCUGUGGCGAAGGCGGCUAACUGGAACGGACCUGACGGUGAGUAACGAAAGCCAGGGGCGCGAACCGGAUUAGAUACCCGGGUAGUCCCAGCUGUAAACGAUGCAGGCUAGGUGUUUGGACGGCCACGUGCCGUUCUAGUGCCGCAGGGAAGCUGUUAAGCCUGCCGCCUGGGGAGUACGAUCGCAAGAUUGAAACUUAAAGGAAUUGGCGGGGGAGCACCACAAGGGGUGAAGCUUGCGGUUUAAUUGGAGUCAACGCCGGAAAUCUCACCGGGAGCGACAGCAGUGUGAAGGCCAGAUUAAAGGUCUUGCCAGACGAGCUGAGAGGAGGUGCAUGGCCGUCGCCAGUUCGUGCCGUGAGGUGUCCUGUUAAGUCAGGCAACGAUCGAGACCCGCGUCCUCUGUUGCUACUAGCCUUGUGCUGGGCACACUGAGGAGACCGCCACUGAUAAAGUGGAGGAAGGAGCGGGCCACGGCAGGUCAGUAUGCCCCGAAUCUCCCGGGCCACACGCGAGCUGCAAUGGCAGGUACAAUGAGUUCCAACCUCGAAAGGGGGAGGCAAUCUCGAAAGCCUGCCGUAGUUGGGAUCGAAGGCUGCAACCCGCCUUCGUGAACAUGGAAUCCCUAGUAAUCGCGUGUCAUCAGCGCGCGGUGAAUACGUCCCUGCUCCUUGCAC
rnacentral:rRNA from 1 species